rnacentral:rRNA from 1 species
GUCGUGCGCGAGGUGGCUUCGGCCACUGGAGAGCGGCGAACGGGUGAGUAACACGUGGGUAAUCUGCCUUGGAGCGGGGGAUAACCUGGGGAAACUCGGGCUAAUACCGCAUACGUUGGUUGGGUCAUGGCUCGACCAAGAAAGCUGGCCUCUACUUGUAAGCUAGCGCUCCUAGAGGAGCCCGCGUCUGAUUAGCUAGUUGGUGAGGUAAUGGCUCACCAAGGCGACGAUCAGUAGCCGGCCUGAGAGGGUGAUCGGCCACACUGGGACUGAGACACGGCCCAGACUCCUACGGGAGGCAGCAGUGGGGAAUAUUGGACAAUGGGCGCAAGCCUGAUCCAGCAACGCCGCGUGGAGGAUGAAGGUCUUCGGAUCGUAAACUCCUGUCAGACGGGACGAAGGUCCUGGGGCAAAUAGUCCCAGGGCUUGACGGUACCGUCAGAGGAAGCCCCGGCUAACUCCGUGCCAGCAACCGCGGUAAUACGGAGGGGGCGAGCGUUAUUCGGAAUUAUUGGGCGUAAAGGGCGCGUACGCGGCUAGGUAAGUCAAGGUGAAAUCCCUCGGCUCACUGAUGAACUGCCUUUGAAACUGUCUAGCUUGAGGCCGGAAGGGUGGCUGAAUUCCCAGUGUAGCCGUGAAAUGCGUAUA